UAAAAAAAAAAAAAAAAAACUCUGCCUGCCUUCCGGUGCUCCUCACCGCCGUUCGGCGCACGGACGCCAUCGACCAUUGGGCAUGCCGCUGACCUCCAGCGCCGCGCACUCCGCCUCCACCUCCACCUCCACCUCCACCAGCGGUGGAAACGCUUUGGCUCAGCUGGUACUCCCCAUAAUAAAAGCAACCGGGCGUGUGCCGAGGAGCCUCUACUGAUUUGGCCACGCGCGGCUCCAAUCUGCUGGUACAUGGUGCUGCGAAAAGUCUACGUAAAUCCCGAUGGCUGGCAUGGAACAGAGUUUUCUUGCCUCCGCCCCCGAUCUUUCUCACCAUAUGGUACCCAACUCUAUAGGUGUAGUUUCACUUCGAAUUAUAUAUUAUGCUUCCGUUCAAAUGUUGAAUCCAGUACUUGCUCAUUUGCCUACUUCACUGAAAACAGGAUUCUCAUUUUUCACAUUAUUCAUAUUUUUCACAUA